GUAGGUGAACCUGCGGAAGGAUCAUUAGAGAUAAAGUAUGACCCCUUCGGGGGUAGACUUCUCACACCCUAUGUUUACAUACCAUUGUUGCUUUGGCCGGCCGCGGCCUCCGCUGCGGGCUCACGCUCGCACGUGCCGGCCAGAGGACCCAACUCUUGAUUUUAGUGAUGUCUGAGUACUAUUAAAUAGUUAAAACUUUCAACAACGGAUCUCUUGGUUCUGGCAUCGAUGAAGAACGCAGCAUCUGACU
rnacentral:misc_RNA from 1 species